rnacentral:rRNA from 1 species
AGGACGAACGCUGGCGGCGUGCCUAACACAUGCAAGUGGAGCGACGAACCAGGCUUCGGCCUGGGGCAAAGCCGCGAACGGGUGAGUAACACGUGGGUAACCUGCCCCGAUGAUUGGGACAACCCGAGGAAACUCGGGCUAAUACCGAAUGUGCCCUCCGGCCAUAAGGCCGCUGGGGAAAGGAAGCUUCGGCCUCCGCAUCGGGAUGGGCCCGCGGCCCAUUAGCUUGUUGGUGAGGUAACGGCUCACCAAGGCAACGAUGGGUAGCUGGUCUGAGAGGACGAUCAGCCACACUGGGACUGAGACACGGCCCAGACUCCUACGGGAGGCAGCAGUGGGGAAUAUUGGACAAUGGGCGCAAGCCUGAUCCAGCCAUGCCGCGUGGGUGAUGAAGGCCCUAGGGUUGUAAAGCCCUUUCGGCGGGGAAGAUAAUGACGGUACCCGCAGAAGAGCCCCGGCUAACUUCGUGCCAGCAGCCGC